UAUUUAUUACAUUCUUCCCUGUUUCUUGCAAGUUUUUAUCCAAGAUUUUCUGUGCCCUUUGUUGUUUUAAGCAAGGUAUAUGGAUGUAGAACCUGCAAAUGAACGAGAAAAUAUUGCAUCCUUUUGGUGCGAGUGUGGCAAUAGAUUAUGCCGACAGGCAUGCAUAUGUAGUAAAGAGAUAUAUUUCUUAGACAACCCGAUUUCUGUCCAAUUAUAGAUUGUGGCGGCAUGAGUUUGCAAUGAAAUGACACGUUUAGAAAAAAUGAAAAUUGUGAAUAUAUGGUUUUGAUGGAAACCUGGGAGUCAAAGCAUGCAUUGAAGUGUGAUCAAUGUUUCUCGGCAUAUCUACUCGCAAUAAACUUGUGAUCAUUUUUUCACAUCAAUAUUCAUGUAAUAUCCAUUUUUCACAUCGAUAUUCAUGUAAUAUUCAUCGCAAUAAAUGAAUUUGCAUUGAAGUGGAUUUUCUUGUUUGAAAUUAUCCGUUUACUCAUAUGUACAUCUUACAUCAAAUUGAUAACCAACCGAUGAAAUAACUUCCACAGUUUCAAAGAAACUUUUCUUAUGCCCUUAAGUACAAUCUGAAGGACAAUACUUAGUGAAGAUCUUGUUGUCCCUAUUCCCCUUUCAAUCCUCGUGUCAAGCUGCUCGUCUUCCAGUGUUCUUCAUUCGGUGUCGUACUAUGAGGAAUCCUCUGAAGCUGUCUCCGCGGAUCAAAGUUAUCCGUGGAAGUUCACGGACUUAUAUCUUUCAAAUAGAAAUUAAACAAAGAGACACAAAGACAGCUUACAACAUCUUACUGUCUUCGUAAAAGUUCUUCGUAAAAGUUCAGGUCCAGCAAUUUUUUUUUCUUUCUCUGCAUACUAAUUGUGGAAAUGGAAAGUAAAAGAUUGACAGAAAUCCUGUGAUUAAUUAGUUAGUGGACCUAUUUGGUUGUGAACUUUAUGGACAGAUAGUUUUGUUAUGAAAUGAAAUUGCUUCUACUUCUGAAGGCUCUUUUGGUUCCUGUAUGAUGGUUGUGCAAGCAGAUGACCAUACGUUUGUAUCUAUGCCAAGAUCUCCGUCUGGACAGUUGGAAGGUCCAUCAACUCAAGGCUGUGCUUCUUAUCCUUUGCAAGAAGUUGGGAUGUUGAUGCCUGUGGCUUGUCAAUGGGAUCGAUUUCUUCGUCACGACGUACCUCACUUGUUGUCACAGUGACUUUGAUGUUUCCACUGUCAUACGUUGUUGUCUCUACAGAGAGGACCAAAAGCACGUUUGGAUCAAAAUAAAACGACAUGUAUCUCUAUAACAUAGAUGACACUUCCAGUGUUUGAUUAUUGGAAGCCUCUUCCAAGAUUCAGAGUUUCUCAAUGAAUGCAUAUCAUUAUCAAUGUUAUCAACUUCCAAGUUAUUUUUCAUAUAUAACCCGACUUUUAGCUUCCCUGUGAAAAGAAUAAUAUCUGAUCUGAUUUUUUAA